rnacentral:rRNA from 1 species
GCCUAUGGCCAAACCACCCUGAACGUGCCUGAUCCCGUCUGAUCUUGGAAGCUAAGCAGGGUCGGGCCUAGUUAGUACUUGGAUGGGAGAAGUAUAAGGUCGAGUCAGAAGUGCCCUGGGCU